GGCUGAUUUGAAACUCGUCACCAAUGGGAACACGAAUACACAUCCGGGACUUGAAUUUGCCCCCCAAUAGUCGCGUUCCCUUUUUUUACUGAAUUAAGAUUACAAUGCCUCCUCUAGUGUUAUUUAUAAUCUCUAUGCAUUUUACCCUAAAACAGUUGAGAUUACCUGUCCUAAAUGAAACGCAUACAAACUCAUAUACAGGUCCUAGACUAUACGGUAUUUCCAUUUCUGGUCCGACUGUUAGCUAAUCCCAACCGGAAAUACAAUUUUAAAACGUCAAAACAAUGCGUCGUUUGCAUGCCAUGAGAGGCAUACUUUGAAACCCGGACUGGACUCGAACCCGAAGAAAAUCCGGACUCGAGAAAAAGCCGACUUGAGAAAAAAAUGAUUAUUGUCAUAAAG